GGCGGGGCUGGGCCCGGGCACUGCUCCGCUCCGGGGGGAGAAGGGCUGAGACACUGUCCCGGAGAAGACAAGGGUGGAAGAGCGGCGGCUCGGGCUCGGGGGUGCUGGCAGGGCAGCCAGGGCACGGCGGGGCGGGGUGAAUGGAUAUGAAAUCAACUGGAAGAGUCUCUGCCCUGCCUCCCUGGAGGGUCAGUCCACAGAAGGAACAGCUACUGAAACUAUUAGUUCAAGUGAUAAGGAUCUCUGCUGUGUCACUAUGAAGCUCUGACCUUUGCUGAUGAUAUAAGUGGCAGGGCACUCUCUCUCUCAUACAUUGUACUACUACAUCCAUAGGCCACAGACUCAAAGAAUAAUUUUGCCUGGAAGGGGACCUUCAGAGGUCAUCUAGCCCAGCCCACUGCUCAAAACUGCUGCGUCCACUCAUGACUUGAACAUCUCCAAGAAUGGAGAUCCCACAGCCUCUCUGGGUCGUGGUGCCAUGGUGUCUGAAUGCCCUCCUGAGGCUGGGAUUGUAAAAAUGUUAUCUCCUGAAAUGUUGUCACCUCAUAUGGUCAAAUCAGCUACUGCAAAACCUCCCAGACAUCAUAUCUGAGAAAGUGUAUUUGUUCUGCUUGUUGAUGCCUGUUGGAAUUUCUUUCACAAUGUUUUGAAUCUUUCCCCAAAUCGUUGUCAUUUGUACAUCUGACUGAGUGCAUUUCCUCACUCAUAUAUUUUAACACUUCUCAUAUGCCCUUGAGCAUCAACAGAAACGCAUUUUUCAUUGGCUGGAUUCACGUUGCUGCUUUUUUCAUUGCAUUUGUAACGUGACAUUCGUUUUUGUUUUGUGUGUUUUUUUUUUCUCCUGGUACUCCACUUAUAAUGGCAAAGUAUUUAGAAAGAGCAAGCUGGUUCAUUUGAUUCUGCUGUAUUAAGAGAAUGCCUCUAACUGCAAUGUUAGAGCUAAUCUAAUUAAAAUAAAUGACAAAUAAACAGCA